AUUUGCAUUCAUAUUUUUGAUAUUAAAAAGUUAACAUUGCUGAUCGCGUAAGCUAAGCAGGGUCAGGCCUGGUUAGUACUUGGAUGGGAGACCACCUAGGAAGACCAGGUGCUGCAGGUG
rnacentral:rRNA from 1 species